AGAGUUUGAUCAUGGCUCAGAACGAACGUUGGCGGCGUGGAUUAGGCAUGCAAGUCGAACGAAUCCCUGGUGGGUAACUGCCAGGGGGAAGUGGCGAAAGGGGCAGUAAGGCGUGGGUAACCUGCCCCGGAGACGGGAAUAGCCCUCCUAACGGAGGGGUAAUACCCGGCGAUCUGGCCUGGGGGCAUCUCCGGACCAGCAAAGGAAUCUCGCUCCGGGAGGGGCUCACGUGGUAUUAGCUAGACGGCGGGGUAACGGCCCACCGUGGCCAAGAUGCCUAGCAGGUGUGAGAGCACGACCUGCGCCACUGGCACUGGGACACUGGCCAGACUCCUACGGGAGGCUGCAGUCGAGGAUCUUCGGCAAUGGGCGCAAGCCUGACCGAGCGACGCCGCGUGUGCGACGAAGGCCUUCGGGUUGUAAAGCACUGUCGAGGGGAAGAAAAGCCCGCAAGGGCCUGAUCGACCCCGGGAGGAAGCACGGGCUAAGUUCGUGCCAGCCGCCGCGGUAA
rnacentral:rRNA from 1 species